AUCUGAAAUUUCAUUCAAUGAAAAGGAUUAGCAACAAAGCCCAACAGAGCCAAAGUCCGAAGAGCCACACCCCAAACUCGUCUCCUGAGGCACAGGCCCAAUCGACGACUUGGUCGGGAGAGACAGAAAGGGAGAGGAGUGUCAUCCACGAUUCGACGGCGAAAUCAAAAUCCCUCUGCGACUGCUUUUCCGAAAUUACAUGGCAUAUCAAAAAUCAAAGCUUUCAUUAUCUUUUUCCUUUGUUUGGAAGGAGUUUCCGUGGGGAGCUACUGCUGGGGCAUGUGGGGAAGGAAUGAUGCAUCUGGUUGGCACUGUAAAGACACGUAUUUAGAGCAAGUUAUUCUUUGUGCAAGUCAGGUUAUUAUGAAGGCUUGAAACUUUGCAGCAGUUUGGGAAGUAAAAAUCCACAGGCAAUCCCAAUUUCCAUAUUGAUAGUUCUGUUGAGGGACUCAUACUAGGAGGAUUGUCUAGUGGCAUUAGUGCGAAUAUCUUACCAGUGCCUUCGAUGUGAUCAAAACAAGAUUGCAAGUACAGGGAUCAACCUUGAGGUACAAUGGCUGUUAUAUGCAAAGUAGCAUAAGGAUGGCUGACGAUGCACAGGAGGUUGCUCAGAGGUAGCGUUCCCAGGAUUGAGGAUAAUCCAGUUUCAGCUCUGACUUUUGUUGGUGUGGAAUUUCUAAGAGAGACCAUCUCAAAGAAGGAUUGAGCAAUGAUAACAGGCAAGAAGUUGCUGGCAUGUCGGUAGAUGAAAAAGGAGUCAUCUGUACUGUGGAUGGCAUGAGAAACUUGCACUGAAUUUCUUUUCAAUCUCAUACAGGCAUUUUCAUGUAUCCAAUUAAUAAACGUUUAGUAAUGUUAUCAUGUGAUAUGUUUAUAUA